rnacentral:misc_RNA from 1 species
GAAAAAAAAAAAAGUAUCGUCUUGUGUUGUUCACUAUGUGUUCUUUUGCUCUAAAUUUAUAGUUGAAUUUCAUGAGACUCAAUAGGCAAAUUUUUUGUAUUUGAUUACAAGUUAUCAUGUUCACUUCUGCAUUUUGCUACCAAGUGUAAGAUUUUUGUAUGUUUAAAUUUUAUAUAGUGGAUGCUAGGGUGUUAAUCAUCAACCAUUUUUUGAUUUCUCUAAGUUUGUGCUCCAAUACCAAUUAUUUGUUUAACAAACUUAUGAACCCUUAUUUGGGUUUACCAAAUGGAAGAAAUAACAUGGGAUUAAAAAAUGAUACUGAUGUGGAAAAGAUAAAAUCAUCAGAUUCUGCAGCAGUUAAUGUUGACGAUGCACAAAUAAUAACAUGGCUGUAGCAUCAAACAUUAGGUUAAAAAUGGUGAUAUGCACAAAUUUUUUACAAGAGGAAUUUUCUUCAAGUUGAACUAAGUUGAACUUAAAAUAACAAUUUGGCAGGCAUGGAUGAAUACCAAUUACCAUAUGUUCUGUUAUUGUUAUACUAGGAGCAUCAAGUAAAAUGACUCCCUUCUAGAGGAAAUCCAUAUUUGAAUGAAAUUGGAGAAUUUCUUGCAAUAAC